rnacentral:rRNA from 1 species
UGAAGCCUAGCGAUUGUAAAUUUAGUGGCGGACGGGUGAGUAACGCGUGGGUAACCUGCCUCACACUGGGGGAUAACAGUCAGAAAUGGCUGCUAAUACCGCAUAAGCGCACAGAGCUGCAUGGCUCGGUGUGAAAAACUCCGGUGGUAUGAGAUGGACCCGCGUCUGAUUAGCUGGUUGGUGAGGUAACGGCCCACCAAGGCGACGAUCAGUAGCCGACCUGAGAGGGUGACCGGCCACAUUGGAACUGAGACACGGUCCAAACUCC